rnacentral:lncRNA from 1 species
CAGGGCUACACAGAAAAACCCUGUAUCAAAACAACCAAAAACCAAAAAACAAAACAACAACAACAACAAACCCUUAGUGUUUUCUGAUAGAAGUGAAUCUUAAUUGUAUUAGUGACCCUUGUCACAGAUUACAAGGAAUGCUGGCUUCCUCAGAAUCGUGAAGCUCCAGUGCCCAUUGGUUCUCUAUGACGCUCAGAGCUUCGUUAUUCUGUCUGGAUCUGAGCAGCACUCUGGUGCAUAUAAGAUGCUUGAGGUAGACUUUGAGUUUUGAAAUGGUAGAGGCUGCUUACCACAAAUCUGUUUUAACCAGGAGUGGCAGAACGUCUGAUUCUUUAGGCUUUUCUUUCUUGUAAAAUUAAAAAGAAUUGUUUAAUUAAGUGCACAUGAGUACAGGUGCCCAUGGAGACCAGAAAGGGGACAUCAGUGCCCUCGAUCUGGAAGGCUGGGGUAAGUCACCUCACAUGGGUGUUGUGAGCCAAACUUGGGCUCCGGAAGAGCAGCAAGUGCUAUAUCUGCUGAGCCAUCCCUCCAACCCCUAAAAUUUAUUUUAAAAGAAGUUACCUUUAUCAUCAUACUUUUCUGUCCAUUGUUUUUGAAACAGACAAAAAGCCAAGGAGUUUUCAAAUAGCAUUCUCUACUUGUAGAGAUAUAGAUGGGUGUAAACCAUGAGGAUGGUUACUUUCUGUUUUAUUUUAGAAUUCAGAAGUUUUGGAGUUGACUGAUAGGCCUCUCCAACAUUUCUCUCCACAUGUGCUUGUGUGUACAGGCGUAUUUGUAUGUACUUGUGUGUACAUGCCAGUGUUGUGCUUGCUGAGUAGGCUAAACUGGCUAGCUGGCCAGUGAGCUUUAGGUAUGACCGUAAUUCUCCUUUCCCAGCCCUGGGACUGUACAUGUAGGCCUCUGUCUGGUUUUUACACAUGGCCAGGAGAGUAAACUCAUGUACCAAAUGCAUGCACAUGAGCACUAGUUAUGAGAUGUCACAGUUUCUUGCAAAGAAUCCAAAGCCUUUAUAAAUUACUGAAUGUCUAGUGGGAAUGCUACCCCUCUGGAAGAGAGGAGCUGAUGUAAGCGGUAUUUUGAAUGAGGUUGGAAGCUGGUGCCAAGAGGGCAUGGAUACAUUGUUCAAGUGAGAAGGUGGGAACUGGAAGAAACCAGGUGUGCUAAGUGUAUACUUUUGUGUCUUGUCUAUUAUUGAAGAUGAGCAGUUCAGAAGCUAAGAAAAACAGCACUGUGCAUUGUAGUGUGGCUUUUGUAAUAAUACUGUGUGGAUACAAAUAUUGGCAGCAAUGGAUUCUCUUAUCACCAUCAUUUUAGACAUGUAAAGAAACAGAAUAACAUUGACUUGGUGCCAGACUGUAAGUUCAGAACUACUUUAUUGUCUCUGGCUGACCAGGGGUGGCCACAGGGAAGAAAAUGCAGCUGUAGGCUGAAUUGACAGGCUGAAAGGGAAAGUGUGUAGAGGCCAGGCACAGAACCUGUAGGCUUCUCAGUUCUUACUUAGUAGAGAAGAGACUUUACUAGAAACUGAAAUAAACAGAAAUUAGCAGUAGAAGCUAGCUAGUUGGUGCCGAGGCUGCUGUUAGGAGGGGUGAGACCAUACUGAAGAGGGAUAGGAAGGGCAGGUGCAGUUCAUUGCUUGCCACAGUCUUCCUUCCUCCCUGUCAUCAGGUGGGUGUGGUGGAUGUGCUGUGCUGUCACGCUGGAUUGAAAUGACGGAGGAGUGGGUGUCCUUUCUUUACCUUUUCUUCCAUUUGUGGAGUCAAGUCUGAAGGUUGGAGGUCUUUUGGGGAAGUAGACAUAGGUUCAAAGGAUCUAGUCCCUGAUUGUUCGGGAGAUAGCUCAGUUGGUAAAGUGCUUGCGAGGUCCUGCUGCUUGGGUAGCUGGUUCAUGCCUGUGCAAGCAUGCGGCCCUGAGGUAGGUUACAGGUGAAUGCCUGGGCUCACUGGGCGGCUAGCCUCACCUAGUCGGGAAGCCCCAGGGCUUCGAUAGACCGUCUCAGAAAACCUAGGUGACAGUGCGUGGGGACUAACACUCAAGGUUAGUCUCCGGCCUCCACACAGAAGUGCAUCCAUGGGCGCCUGCACACGCACCACAUGGACACACACCUGCUCUCUAAGUAAACAAACGGGUUCCAGGUAGAAGCAAAGUGUGCACUAAACAGGGACAUACCAAGUGGACUGGAAUUUUGGCUGAAGCUACUGAAAAUUUGGGGUUUAGCAGUUAAUGGUGUCACAGCUGCAAGCCAUUGAGUAGAUGAAGUGCUUGAGAUCCUAAGAAUAUCUGUAAGAAUGGUAGCUGAGGUGGGUGAUGCUGAGCUGCUGCUGAUACAGAUACACAGAGUAUACGCCGUGGAUUCAGCGAGGGCCAUUGGCCAAGCCUGAGAUGCCUGUGAGGACGCACAGGGUAGUCCUUGAGUCUGUAUUUCGAUGAAUGCUGAUAGUAUCCAUGCCAUGAAAGUUUUGUCUUGUAGCAGACAUUGCCAUAAGAACUAGGAUUAGAAGAGUUCUCUUAAAGCAGAAUGUCCUGUCCUGGCACGCAGUGUUUCAGCUGGGUGAUGAUUUGGUUAUGUGUUCCUGCGUGUUAGAGAAUGGGUUACCCCAUCCCUGAACCCACUAGAUUCCAGGAAUACUCUCGUAAUUGUAACAGCUAGAAAAUGUUUCAAGACAUUGCUAAAUGUCCUCUGGGAUAGUAGAGACACUACCUUAAAGACAGAGUGAACCUGUAAGCUAUAGAAAAUCCCUCUCUUUAGUUAAAGAGCUUUCCCUUCUGUUAGGGAAUAGAUGAGGGUUCAUGGGAGGUUGUUUAUGGAUGUGGAGUGAAGGAAAUGUGCAUUGUUUUUGUAAAGGUUAUAGUUUCUGUUGGAUUUUUAUUUAUUUUUUCCUUUUGAGACAAGAUCUCAUUGUUGAGCUAUGGCUGGCCUGUGUCGUCUAGGCAGGGCCCCAACUCCAUGUGAUCCUUUUGUUUUUGUACCACCAUGUCUGACUUGUUGACUCUUGACCCAUUCUUAGUUCUAUCAGUUUCAUAUUUAGUUUCCUUCAAACAGCAAGAAAGCUACCAGUUAGCUGAGCCCAAAUGAAGACAUUACUGAAGUUUUUCAUUUUUUUCUAUAUUUUUCCUCCUAAUUAUGGGUACUUUGUAUUUCCUAUUUAAACACAGUUUCCGCUAUGUAACCCUAUCUCUGCAUUAUGUCCUGAGGUUGCUUAUAAUUGAUAAAAGCAAGUAAUGUUGACACUAUGACUAUGUAACUAUUAUUUAUGGCUGGGUCAGGUAGUAUGCAUAGAUUGUGAUUCCUUUUCUGUAGAUUUUAUUAUGUAGUCCCCGAGUAAUUAAAAAAAAGAAAACAGUUGAUAAUACCAAGGUUCUGACUAUUGAAUUUUUUUAACGUUUGGGCAGGACUUCCUGUUUCCCUAAUUUUUUCCUUGUCCCCUCUUCUAACAGUAUAUGUCUCUACCCUAGUCUUCCCUACACUGCCUCCUUACUCCCAUCUAUUCUAUUGUGCUUUCAAUCUGAGUGGUCAGCCUCUAGAUUAGACAGCUUGCCUUUUAGGUCUCUUCCUAUCACUUUCUUCUGAUAUGCUGUUUUGUUUGCUUGGUUUCAGACACGGACUCUCACUGUAGCCCAGGUUUAGCCCAGCUGACCCCAAGUUUACAGCGAUCGGAUCCUUCUUCAGUGCUAGGAAUGGGCCAGCAUGUCCAGUCCUCAUUUUAGAACUCUUUAAUUGGAUAAUGUAACUUCCCUUUGCCCCUAUAGUCUUGUGGAAGUAUACAUUCUCAGGUGUGUGUAUGUGUGUGUGUGUGUGUGUGUGUGUCCACCUACCCAUCCGUCCAUUCAUCUAGAAGAUGAGUGUUGGGAGCCCUGACUUAUUGCUCUCUAACAUAUGCCCUUGAGACAGGGUUUCAGUCUUGAACGUCUUGCUGGUUUUCAUGUUAGGCUGGCUAGCUAGCAACCCCCAGUGAUCUUCCUGUCUCAGUCCUCCGAUUUUAGGGCCCUUCAACCCUGAGAUUACCGGCCAUACCAUCUGGCUUCUUAGGGUGCGGGAGAUCCAAAUUUAGGUUCUUAUUGCUGGCUCAGCAAGUGUUCUUUCCUAUUGAGCCAUGUCCUCAGCUCACUUUUGUUCUUUCUGAGACAGGGAAUCAUGUAGCCCACACUUUCCUUGAAUUCACUUUACAGUUGAGGAUGACUGUAAACUUUUUGUAAGACUAUAAUGUUAGAAUCUAGCUGCUGCUCUGGCCAUGGGCACCAUUCACAGCCUUUCCCCUUUCACAGAUAGCAACAGGCACCCUAUUGAGACAUUUUCUUGGCGUCUCUAGCUAACAGACUCCCAGGUGCCAAGAUCUUUUUUUUACCUGGGGAAAUGAGUUUACCUCAAAGGGCUCUUGUUUUUGGUGGUGACACACACAUCCUAUAUCCAGCUCUCUUCCUUGCCUCUUGCCUGGGAAUCGGAGAGCUUGGCUAUAGACUUGUGUUUUGAAACUACUCUAUCCUCAAAAGGGAGCAAUAUUAUACUCAGUUGCCAUUACAGUCUGAAUUAUAGGCAUUUUCUAACUUUCUGAAAUGCCUGUCUACUGAGUCCUUGGUGAUGUUCUGUUUUCAUUUCUCUGCUUGCUUGUAGGGUUUUCUUAGGAUGGUUCUGCUUAUCUUACUUUUACUUUUAUCCUUCUGGUUCUUGUUCUGUCUUUAGACAUUUAGAGGCUCCCUUUUGCCUCCAUGCCUAGCAUUUCUCCCUGAGGUUAAUCAACACAUUUUGUUUUCUACUUACAUUGUAUUAGCAUCCCCAACUAUCCCCCUUGGUCAUUUUUUGUUUUUGUAAUCAUUUCUUUUCCGUACUUAGUUUUCCAUUAGAUGCAUGGUGAUUGUUGGUUGACCUAGCGUGUACCAGGGCUGGGCGUCCUUCCCCCUUCCCCCUUCCCCUGUGUUAGGUUUUCCUUUGAGUUGUGGACGAUGGAGCAUUGGAUGUCAGAGCAGUAGAGUGUCCUUUAGCUGCCUUUGUUUUAGGUUAAAUGGGAGGUAAUAGCUACUGGGGCUGUAGGCCUUUUAAAUAACAGACAGUUUUAUUUGGUGUCUGUAUCCCUGCCUAAGUUUCAUUUUCUCUUUGGGGGGAAAAAUACCAGAAUUUGAAAGGAAAGCAAAGC